CUCAGGUAAUUUUAGGGCAACUCAGCCAUUCCAUACACACUGAGUGCUCAGAUGCGCCCUCUCAGUGAGUAGCAGCAGAACAAAUCCAUAAUGCAGAAUACUCAAGUAAGAAAUCUGUGCAUAUGCCAGCUUGAAAGGCUGAGAAAAGACCUAUUAUGGAUGACACCGGAGAGCCAUAUGCAGCUUGAGAGUAACUGUCUCCCACCUUCAGCCCAAAGGGAGAAAACAAGGAACACUGAUGAUGAAGUGUGCUCAACAUGUGAAGACCUCCAUCGAGGUGGCCAAUAUAAGCCCCAGCCACUUGGAAGCCUUUUUAAGGCUUACAGAAUGUCCUUGCAGAACUAGACCAAUGAUCAGCCCUUCAGCUUAGAAAACAAAUAUGUUUCCGGAUGAUACUGUUGUUUUGGAUUUUAUUUCAAAGUUACUCAUUUAUUCACAUUAAUUCUAUUACAUCAGCAAUUUGUAUCAUCGGGAAAAAAAUAUAUAAUUGAAUUAAUCACAACGCUCAAGUCCCUUUCAAAAAACAGAGGCUAUCUGGAACCUUAGAUAUACCAAAUUUAAUCAAUGUAGUCACAAUUUAAAGCUGAGAAUUCCACUAAAAUAAAUGGGAUAAAUAGAUCUGAGUAUUAGAAAGCAAAUAUUGAAGCUCCUGUUUUAAUUCCUGCUGGUUGAAUCAACUGCAGAAGCAAAAUCUUCCCACCUAGAGUGAAGUAAAGCUUUGUGAUCUACACUGAUGCCCUUGCUGGCAGACAGUGAAAGCAGGUGGAUUCAUCCUGACACUUUGGUAUGUCUAGCAAGGGUCCAGCAAUGACCCAACGAAAAUACUAUUUUGCAUGAUGUGUAAUACAUCACUUGGAAAACCCACUCACCUUGUUAAAGCUCAGUGUUCAAGUAUCAGCAACUUUUUUAAAUAUUAGCAAUAAAACUCAGUGCUAUAUAUUUUUAAGUUUUAAUAUGAAGAGAAUGUCUUUAUAAGAGCAGAGUGUUUUCUGGAGAUUUCACAAGACAGUGUUAAGUCAGAAAAUGGAAUUGGUAAGGCACAUCCUGAAGAAAGAGUGCCAUGCCAUAAUCUCAUUCUGGUCUGAUCUACAUGCCACUUAUUUAUAACAUAAAGCAUGCACAAAUAAAUAAAGAACAAAUCCAUCCUUCUUAAAUAUCUGUUCACAUUACAGGGAGACUUCUCUUCCCUUUUCCUCAGGUUUGUUUAUUACACCCACAGGUUACAUCAUCUAUUAAAUUAACCCACAAUCUAGUUCUUAAAAACCUGUGCAACCUUGAGUAAAGUUAUCAUGAAUGAUAAAGGCAUCACAGACAACUAAUCAAACUUUGCUUCAAUCCCUACAAUGCUUUUAUCUUUGUAAUUUGUUCUGGUGCUGGGGCUGAAUAAAAAAGAAGCUCUACUCAUCACCUGAGAAAAGUUAUGCAUAUUGUUUAUGUGCAAAAUGAGAGACCAAGUUUUAUAUACACUUCAGAAUAGGUACUACCAGGGAUAAAAAAAAAAAUCAUGAUAGAAGUAAUUUACACAUUUUACUGAUAUCAAAAUUUAAUUCUUUAUUUUGUGGUUUACAUAACGCUUAGUUCACUGGGCCCCCUGCACAUUGGUAAAAUAUUACCACGUAAUAGUAAGGAGACUGUUUAUUUUCUUUUGUUAAAACUAUGAAAUGGAACACUUAGUAUAUUAAUAUCCACUGUUUUUUGUUGUGUUUUUUUGUUUGUUUGUUUUGUUUGUUCUUUUUUUAGGAAAGCCUAUAUUUUCUAUGUAUUCUUAAUCACAACAGUGAGAAAAUUAAUUCUAAAUUAAUAUCUUUUGACGCAUCAAUAACAACUAAACCUACUUAAUUAAAAAAAAAAAAAAACGUGUAUUUUCUCAUUAUUAAGGUUUCAGCAUUUGAAAUACAACCUUCCUGUUUUUAACGACAAUUGUUCCAAUGGUGCAAAAUUUCAUUUAAGAAUUUUUUCAAUGAAGAAGUCUAUACUGAAGUUGUCAUUGAGUUUGUAGUCUCUUCUUACAUUGAGAUGUAUGGAUAGCCACAUGGUAUUUCAAAAAAUGUUCAGCUACCCCAAUUUUUCAUGAGUAAGAUAUAUGUUUGCAUAUAUGCAUGUAUAGAAAAAAGUAGACAUGAUUGAAAAUUCAUACCCAAAAGUGUCAGAGAAAAGAGAUUCCUCUUACUAAUCUCCUGGGGUAUUUGAUAAAUAAAUAAAUACAUAAAUAAAUAAAAAGUGCUUUCUGAGAGAACUUAGGGGAUGAAGUUUAUGAUAGCAAAAUGGUAUAGUUUUCAAUGAAGUAGAUGAAUGUUUUCUUUGUUCGUAGCAUUCGUACUGAUUUGUUUAACCACUGAAGGGUUCCAUUGUAAUCACCAUCUAUAAAACAGAUUCAAAAUUCUUGGUGAGUAGGCAUACAAACAAUUAACAUUGUGAUGAGUGGCAGAUUCAUCUAUUUCUGAAGUGGUAUAUAAAGGAAUUUCUUCAGAAUAUUUCUCAGAAGGUUAAAUACCACAAGAUAACAUGAAAUAAAUGAUUUUUUUUUUUUUUUUUAACUCUUAGUAACAAAUUCCAACCAGCCCUGAGAGUAAGGAAAGGGGGAAUAAUUCCUUGCCUGAUUAACAAAAUUUAAAGCCUGAGGAGCUGAGUUAGUUAUAUAUAACUUAACGAAGUUGGAAGAAAAUAUGCAGUUGAGCAAUUACAGAGAUUUAGGAUGAUAUUCAUAGGAGAUAUAAUUAAUAAUGAUGGGAUGAAAUCAAGGGGAAAAAAGAAUGGUGUUAACUUAUUAGAGCAUGCACCUUAUUGUGAGUUGUGCUAGAUUAUGGGAAUAUUUAUGGCUGAAAUUGAUAAACUUUUGUUUAGUGAGCAAUGAAUAAUGAAGUCUGUGCUUAGCCUAAACACUGAGAAUGAACAAUACAAUGCUUUUCAAAUUCCCCAUUUGAUCUCUGGCAAGUAAUAAGUUUCCACAAAAGCCACAUAAACACAGAUUUCUCUGAAAGUAAUGCCUUCUAUUUAUUUCCACAGUAACUAAAACAGAGAAAAAGAAAACAAUAACACUUUGAUAAAGUAAAUUCUCAGCUACAGAACACUGCUUUUCAGCAUAGUCACCACCACUGUCUGUGCAUUUUCUCCAUCACUGAACAGGAGCCUGCAUGCAGCACUCAUCAAAUCUGCAGCAGUUGAGGUGACCCACUGUUUCACAGCUGCUACUGCGCCACUGUUGCUAGGAAAAUGUAUCCCACACAUUUCAUCUAUCAUCAGCCAGAACAGAAGGAAUUCUCCAAAUCCAAACUCUAUGGUGGAACUGGUAGGACAGGGCUUGGCAGUAUCAUAUCAAAAGAAAAAGAUUAACUUGUCUGGCCUGACUCUGGAAGUUCAAGCAUUCCACAUAGGGAGCAUAGCAAUGUAGAAGUCAGAGGUGAUGGUUUGUCUAAGUACCAGAAAAUCCAAAAGGAUCACAGCUUUUCUAUUUCAACAGACAUUGCACGUCACUUAACCUGCUGAGGGCUGCAUCUUGAAGUAUUUAUUUGAUGGAGAAUUCACAUCUCUACUCUGUGGACUGCCAUUUUGACUCUGGUCAAAGCGGUGACACUAUGUCUCAUCACAGGUAAUGAUACAAUCCAGGAAUCUGUACCUUCAAUAGGUACAGAACAUUUGUGUAGAGUGAACCCUACUGCUGCCAUGUUUCACAUGACAAUAAAAUCUAAAUGAGUUUUGCUAGAAGCUCCAAGUUCUACUGUAUUAGCACCAUCUGCCAUUUACUUUACUUUAUCGAAUAGUGUUAUUGUUUUCUUUUUCUCUGUUGUAGUUACCAUGGAAAUAAAUAGGAGGCAUUACUUUCAGAGCAAUCAACAUAUUUUGUCAUUAUUGAUGUGACUCUAAAUUGUGAUAGUAUAACUGAAAUAUGUUUCCUAUCUUGUCUAUUGCUAUCAUCACAGAAGAUAAGGCUAUGAACCUACUUGAAUAAAAAUAAAAAUUAUUAUUAAAAAUGAAAUAUACAAUACAAAAGAAAAAAAGAAAAGAAAAAAAGAAAAGAAAAGAAAAAAGAAACAAAAUGGCCUCUUGCUUGGGAAAGUCAGUGAAAACAAUAAAAUGAAAUUAUCAAAGAGUCACUCCCUACCUGCAGAUGAGUAGACAAAGCUGCUCUCCAAAAGAUUUUACUCAUUGUACCUCACUUUAUAUAUUCUGUUCUUACUCUAGCAUAUACAGUGUCACCGCAUUAAAGUGACUCAUAAUUCACUGGUCUUUGCUUAUUGUAAGAACCUCAUAUUUAUUUCAGGUCAGCUUCAUAUUGAGGUGACUGCCUAUUAAAAACUUAAACUAACAGUAUGAAAAGGAAGUAUUACUCAAUUUGCAAAUAUAUGAAAGAAUAAGAAUUGAUGUCUGAGCCCUAACUAAGCUCACCAGCCCUGAAGUGAAGUCACUUGUCAUGAACGCCCAUAUGACUGAAAGACAAUUUAAUGUUCUUGUUGUUGUUGUUUUUGUUUUGUUAUAUAUUUUAUGCUUACAACAUUGGCAGUAAAUAAACACACUGAAGAAGAAAAGUACUUAACAAGGAGUAGAUGAGAUUGAAUGUGACUGUUCUAGACCUGUACAAGAAGCACUGGCCCAUUAAAUGAAUGUGUAGAGCUACUUCUUAAUGUGUUAGUCAAGUAAUCAAUUUCUGAAAAUACCAAAUAAUUUAAAAAAAAAAAAAAAAAAAAAAAAAAAAAAAGCCCUGUCUGACCUGAAUGCGUACUGGCGUCAGACCAGGCAUUUCUCAGGUACUUACUUGUUCCCUUAAUCAAUCAGUUCUGACAUGUUUCCUUUUUCUUUUCUUCCUUUUUCUUCCUCCCUCUAUCUCACUCACUCACACACACACACACACACACACACACACACUCGUUUUUCCUUUAAUCUCCUUUUGUAGAAUUAAGUGGCCAACCUGCCUCUGUAAAUAAAAUUCUUAAGCUUGUUUCAAUAUUCCAUUAGCUUCAUAGCCCAUUAACAUUUUGGAGUAGUUGUAAAGGGAGAAUCAGCAAAGUAGAUAUGGCACAGCUCUGGAAACCUGGACCCUGGGGGUCUGCUCAUGAUGUUGGUGUUGCUUGCUCUACAACCUUGAGACAGCUGCUUAACUUCUUGGUGAGUGAGUCAAUUCAGCUGCGAGAGUAUGCAGGAACAUUUGCAUACUGCAUUAAGGUCUUGAGAAAUGUAAGUUAUAGACCUUAGGCAAUGCACAUCCAUUCAUAUCUCAUCAGAGUGAUAGUUCCCCAACAGGAGUCAAACAAAAUUCAGACUUCAGAAAAUAUUGUUUUUAAUAGUCAACAUCUGCUUCGAGAUCUUUGAAUAGAACAGAUUUUGUGAGUACCAAGUAUUGAAUCUAGGGAAAAAAGACUGACUCCUUCUCCUGUUACAAAAGAGCGAUGGAAAAGAUAUACAUCGUUUUUGAUGUGUAUUUUACAUGAUAGAACCCACAGUCACUGGCGGUUCCUAAGACAAGAUUUUAAACAGAAUGGAACUAUAUGUAUAUGCAUCAUAAACAACAUAACACUUGUUAUUCUAAGCUACAGUGAUAACAUUUGGAAAGGAUGUAAAGACAUAUAUUCAGGGAGAAAGUUAGUCUCUACCAUAGGUGAAAACUAUGUAGGAGGGGGACCAAAUUGAGAAAUGUUUUGAGAAGAAAAAAUAUCAGUCUGGGAGGACCACGUUUUUUACCCAAAAUAACAGCUAUUUCAUUAUUAGUACAUACUAAUCUAUGCUUACUUUAAAAAUGCAAUCAAGACCCAUUCGGUUCAGCCUCAACUGUCAGAAUUGUGUUCUGGAAAGUACUUCCUUGUGUGGUUUAUUUACAGAUUAAUGUUUUUGUUAGAGCUUCUUCAUCAGAUUUUCUGGGGCAAUCCACAUGGAGUCAAGGAAGAUCUGUUGAUAAUUGCAUCUAUUUCUAUAACCCUGAAGCAUUUUCUUAUUGGUGUUUUAAAAAGAUUACCCUGGUUCACAAGGCAUCUGAGAAAAUAUGUAAGACAGGUAACAAAUCUUUACACAAUUCACUUCUCUAUGAGAAAGUAUAAUUUAUUUCUUCUUGUUAAAUGGGCUAAAAAGGUUCAAGUCAAAGGGCUUUGAGAUUUUUCUCUGAGAAAGUCUCAUAAGUUCUAAUCCGGAGAAAGAUGUCAUCUAAAAAAAUGAGACCUAAGAAAUCUUUUAUUGAGGGGUUUAUCUGUUAAACAAUGCUAUUUAAAGUCUCAAGAUUGAGACUAAAUCCAAGCUUUCAAAUUCCAAAACUAUCUACAUCGUCUCUUCUGUCCUAGAAGGACAACAACUGACAUGAAUCUGAUGGGUUACAUUUGGAAGACAGACAUAAACAUAUGACAAGUACCAAGUGAAAUAUCAGCUCUUUCUGAACAGAUGCUGCAGCCUCAACUGCCUGAAACAAUAUGAAGAGUCCAAACUCAGGCACUGCUGACAAAGACUUCAUGGAUGUAUGACCAUGAGAUUACACAAGGACUACAAGAUCAGUUGAUGGAAGGAAUGUUACUGUAACAGUUAUUCAGAGACUCAUGGUUUCUAGAUCAUUCUCUAUUAAGUCAGGUUAGCUGAUGAGUGACUCCUACUGAGAGAAUAAAUACUUUUUUUUUUUUUUUCCUACCAUUUUUUUCAGUGUCUGUUUAUGGGUGCCCACUGUUUCCAUUUCUGAGGAGGCUGAGUUUUUGCUUUACCAUACCCAUUAUUUCUCACUUUGUUGGUUGCUAAGCAGUCCCUUGUUGCUAAGUAGGGUUUGAGCACUUAAUUUACUACAUUCUUUUUUUCUCAUACCAGAUUUUAGAAAUUGCAGAUCCUGUUUAAUCAAUGUAUAAAUGCAUGCUUUUGAUGUAUUUUUCCUAAGAGCAAUAUUUUGAUCAUUUUUAAUGAUACUUAAUGAAGUCACCGCAUGAUUUCUGAUUGUACCUAAUUGAAGCUUGUGACUUGCAUUUCAAUGCUAUCAUCUUACAGUUUUAUGUCUAUCAGAUGAAACUUUACAAGGACCCAAAUAAAUUAGGAAAUAUACAGAAUUGAUGUGUUUCGCAGAACAAAGUUGCUUGGAAAUAUAUGAGGGCUGUUCUGAAAGUAGUGCCUCCUAUUUUAUGAUGUUGUCUGAUAUUGGUGGUAUAGCAGUAGCAAUUGAACCUUCCCACCUAUACUCACUGAAAUGUUGUUGCUGUUGUGUAAAAGGUGGCAAGAGAGAGGAAGUCCAACAUAAUUGUCUGAUGUAGAAACAUAUAUGAAACAAAGAUGUGUAAUUGAACUUCUCUGUGUGGAAAAAAUUGCGCCCACUGACAUUCACCAACACUUGAUGAAUGUUAUGGGGAUCAAACAGUGGAUAUGACCACUGUGAGGUGGUGAGUAGAGCAUUUCAACAGUGGCAACAGCAGCAGCAAGUCACCUCCACUGAUGCAAAUUUUAAUGUACUCAGUCUUUUUGUUUGUCAUUAGCAAAAAUAUAUAGCUAAUCAUGUUGACUAGGUUAAAAAACAG
ensembl:lncRNA